CUGGGUUUUUAUGGGAUAAAUGUACCUGGACUGACUUGCUUGAAAUAAUGGAGAAUUUUUAUAAGAAUAAGUGGAAUUCUUGUUAUAUAAUGAGGGCUUGAAUUCUUGUAAAUGGUGACAUUCACAUCCUAACAUUGAUUUGAUUUUAUAUGAGGACACUAUUUGUUCUGCAUUCAUCUUAUCCUCUCAGUUUCUCGAUGUUCUUAUCUUCCUUCUCUCAUUUGUCACUGUCUUUUUACGUUUUCCAACAGUUUUCGAACGGCGUUCUCUCAUUUGUCACUGUCUUUUUACAUUUCUCGACAGUUCUAGAACAGCCUUUCUCCAUUUCGGGUAUUUUAUAUUUUGUGAUCUCUCGAAUCUGUGCCUCUAAAUGGGUUUUCAUUGAUUUUAACUUUCUGAUUUCCUUUUUCUUCAGGGAUCUUGUAUAUGGAUGGUUUGAAUGUCUUCUGAUUGUUAUUCUUUUUUCUGCGGGCAUUUUCAUUAUUUUCUAGAGUUUUUUCAUCCCUUUUUUCGGGAUCUCUAAUGGGUAUCUGUACAUUUUACUGUUUAAGUACUGUUGAGAAUUUCUUCGUUGUUUUAUAUAUUCUCUUACCAUUUUUUCUUCACUUUUCCAUAUAUGGGGUUCUCUGAGAUCAGUCUGCAAAUUGUGUUGUUGGGUUAUUUUUCCCGUUGUUUGGUGCAUAUUUUAGCUUUUAAUUUGUUGGGCUUUUGAGAAAGUAGUGUGUAAGUUUGUGUGGUAAUGUCUUUCACUAGAGCCCAGGUGACAACGAGAGAGAGCACGCUAGUAAACAUUCAUAUAUGAGGAAUGACUGUGAACUUGCGUGUUGUCUCUCGUUGUCACUUGAUUUCUAUUUUCAUUAAAUUUUCAGUUUAUGUUAGAAUCAGAUUAAACCCAUCACAGGGAUUCUAUAAAGAUUCGUCAGUUUCUAUAGCAGAUCGAGAAGUGGCAACAGAGGGAAAUGGACGAUCAGCAAUAAUAUUCAUUGUUUUCUCAUAUUGGUGCUGCUAUAAGAGCCGUCACAAUUUUUCUCUGAAGAGGCGAGACUUCCUUCCCAGUUUUCAGUUCAGUUCAGCAAACUGAUUUAGAGAUUAUAGAGGACAUAUUUUCUGGCCAGAAGAAAGGAAGGAAAGGAGGGAAACCCCUGAGCGAUAAUAUGAAUGUCAAUUUUGAAGAUUGAACCAUUGAUCUUUAUGAAAGCCCUCCCAGUAAUAUCUUAGUCUUUGUACGUCCAGACUUAACAGAAUAGAUGGACAUCAGGCUAAGAGAGUUCUUGGAUGAGGAAAAUCAGACUGCAAAAUCCGGAUCACAUUACAGGGGUCAUAAGCUUGGAGGUGUACUUGCCAGGAAAGGAGAUUAAUGAAGCUGCUGAAUAUUGUUUGAUGGAAUAGAGAAGCUGCCGCUAAAAGGAAAAGAUGGUGCCCUAAUCCAAGUGACGAUGAGUUGCAGGUGCAAUUGUUAAAGGAAAAGUCGCAAGAAUACUGGAAAGAGAUUUUAUGUCAGAUUGUUAUCAUAGGCUAGUCCAUCCGUCUCAAGUUUGAUAACCAUAUAAUAUUACAGAUACUUAGAAGCUAUAUGUAUUCAACUAUUAACGAUUGUUGUCACUAAGGGAAAACUAGAGGAAGAUCGUGGCAUUAGAAAAGCCAUUUGAAAUGCUAUCAAAAGCUGAAUCAAGGGCUCGUUAGGAGAAUACUGUCAGUAACGUCCAAAUUGAAUGAGUUUUUUCUCAAAUUGCCAGCCAACCCAAAAGAAAAGAGAAAUUUUCAAAGGCAAAAGUUCACCUAUGAAGGACCAUAGCUAGCAGUGGUGAAUGGGUUAAUUUGAAUAAGAGAGAAGUGCAUACACUAUAGGAAGAAGAUCGAAGCACUUUUGAACUGUCCAAAUCAAAGAUCUCAUUGCCAAAAUUGAAGCCAUAAUUUGAGAGAUUGUAGUAUUUGAAUCAACUAAAAGGAGAUCAAAGCUUCUAUUGAAGCCACCCACAAGUCAAGAAUAUUGAGAAUAUAAAAGGCAUUGAUAUGAGAAAGAAUUGUUUUUUUUUUUUUUUUUUUUUUUUUUUGGGCUGGUUGAGAGAUAUGUAUGGCAGGUAAAAGAAAAUCACAAAAUUUAUGGGAGGCAAAUUUAUUUGAAGAGGAACAUUUGAUAUUACAAUCCUAGUUUUCAAAGAGAUUGAGAAGUUUACCAAAUAAUAUUAAAAGAAUUUUUUGGUAAGAGAAACAAAGUUAUUGUAAUUUUUCUAAAACAUUUGCAAUAUUCUAUGAAGUCUAUAUUAUGUGUUAAAAUUUAAGUCCGAAGAGAUAGAAAGUCGCUAGUGGAUCACUUUAAAUCAUAGAAAAGUGAAGGCAUAUAAAGCUGUCAGAGGAAGGUGAUCUAAAUCAUUGUAAGAAAAUUAUUACCAAGUUUAUAAACAAGAUAAGUUUAAAUAAUUUGUUUUAAUGGGAAAGCAUUGUAAAAGAGCAAAGAAAGAAUAUGAGAAUUUAGUACAUGUGAAUGAUAUUUUGGAAAAUGAAUUGGAGAAAAUUGAAAAGGAAAACGAAGAACUAAAAGAGAAAAAUAGAUCACAAAAUUAAAAAAAAUAUCAAAAUUGAGAGAAGAAACCAAUUUUUCCCAUCAAUUACUUGAAGCAUAUGUAAAGGAAAACCGAUGUCUAAAGUCUAAACCUAUACUAUGCAACAUCUCAUGUGAUACAAAUGAUUUGUACCAUUCAUUAGAUGAACCAUUUUAUAAAUGAGAUAUAGUUAUCGAUCAUUUUGAUGUAAAAGUGUAUGGUUGGAGAUAAAAAAUAUUUGAAUUUAUAGCUUGUUAGAUAGUUCAGAUAACCGGAAGACAACUGAGAGGGGGGGUGAAUCAAUUGUCAUAGAUUACAAGAACAUUCAACAAUUAACACUUUAAUAACAGAAACCAAAACAACAAUACUAGAAUAGCAGUUAAUCUAAUUAAGCAUAAACAAAAAUCACAGAAUAAAAGCCAUCCACACAACACCAAGAUUUGUACAUGAAAAAUCCGGUAAAGGGAAACCCAUGGUGGGAAGCCUACCCACAAUCAGAUAAUACUUCUACAGUAAGUAUGUGAAUUACAAUGAAGGGGCAUGCACUUGCAGGAAGCCCAACAACCUAGAACACACUGCUCAUCACAAAAAGAGUCUCAUUGACUACAUAUAAAUUCAAACUACAAUUCAAAGAAGUGUUGAACUGCAAAAGAUAGCAUCUUCUAUGCCUAAGUACAGUUUCAGUUAAGCUCAAUACUGGAGGAUGAAAUCCUCUUACAUUAACCCAAUUCAUUCUCCAAUGAUCGAUCAAAUCCUCUGCUUGAAUGAUAUUACAUUAUUUGCAUAUUACAUUCCUUGACCAUGACCUCCUACAUUAACCAUGAUGAUCUACAAUGAGAUCUUACAUCUAUGUAUACAAACCCUCGACCAUAAACAAUUAGGUCGACGACUAGACAAUAAAUUAAUUACAUAAUUACAAACCGUGUCGGCCUUAGACCAAACAAGUAAUAACAACACAUAAGACAUUCCAUAAAUACAUCAAUAGGUCCUAUCCACAUAUUACAUUAAAGUCGGUCCAUAACCUAGAUCAACUGAGACCAAGUAUAGGUCCACACACUUCAACAAUGACCUCCAAAUGCCAAGUCUCGAACAUGAUCACCAACAACAUCCUGAAACUCCAUCAGAAGCUGCACCAACACCACUUAUGCAAUUCAUCAAAGAUCUCCACUAAAAGCUCUGUUAGUGAAACCCUCACCUAGACCAAAUUCACCUUUGAUUCUAUCGGCUGCCAGAUAAAGAAAGAGAGUACCAGUCAGAUUGUAGCCGAAGGAAAGAGGACAUAUGGUAAUGUAUAUAAUCUGAAAGAAUAUUUUGAAUCCCAAUGUAUGUUGGGACAAGUGGAUGAAAGCUGGUUGUGGCAUAGAAUAUUAGGCCAUAUAAAUUUUGAUAACUUAGUUGCAGUAAGCAAAAAGGAGAGUGUAAUAAAUAUUCCACCCAUCAUCAAACCAAUAAGCACAUUUUGUGAUGAAUGUGUGAAAGGGAAGUAGACUAAGGUGAGCUUCAGAACAAAAGAACACAACACCUCAAGACCACUUGAAAUUGUACUUACAAAUUUGUGUGGUUCAACUAGGACAAGAGCUCUUCCCGGUGAAAUAUAUUUUAUGCUCUUCAUUGAUGACCAUUCAAGAAUGACAUGGGUCACUUUCCUACAAGAUAAAUCACAAGCAUUUGACAGAUUCAAAAACUUUAAGGAAGAUGGUGGAGAAGGAAAGUGGGUGUAAGUUGAAAUGUCUAAGAUUAGAUCGGGGUGGAGAGUUCACAUCAAAUGAGUUUUAAGAUUACUGUGAAAGACAUGGAAUUAGAAGGCAAUACGCAGCCCCUAGGACACCACAACAAAAUGGUGUGGUAGAAAGAAAGAACAAGAUAGUCAAGGAGAUGGCUAGAACUAUGUUAAAUGAGGCCAGUUUGCUAGACGUAUAUUGGAAGGAAGCAGUUCAUAUUGUUGCAUAUACCUUGAACCGGGUUCAACUAAGAACAAAUAACAUAAUGAUACCUUAUGAGUUAUGGCAUGACUAGAAACCAUCAGUGAAAUAGUUCAAGGUAUUUGGAAGCAAGUGUUUUAUCAAGAGAGAUAUGGAUGGUCUAGGUAGUUUUUAUUUCAAGAGUGAUGAAGGAAUCUUGCUUGGUUACUCAUCAAACAACAAGGCCUAUAAAUGCUACAACAAAAGAAUAAGAAGAGUCAUUGAGAGUGUGCAUGUAAGAGUUGAUGAGGAUAUGCACAAAGGAAGUCAAUCACAAGUAAACUAGUAUGAUGAUUCCAGUGAUGAAGGUGAGGAAGAUCAGUCAGACAAUGAACCAGAAGAAGCAUCCAAAAAGGCUCCUAACCGGUAUGUGUAGAUGAACCACUUGGAAGCAAAUUCUAGGUAAUAAAAGUGAUGGUGUGCAGAAUAGGAGAAGACAUACCCAGAAUGAUGAACAAGUCAACUUCUGCCUCAUGACUGAAGUAGAACCUAAAACAUUCAGUGAGGCUAGCAAAAGACAAGAAUGGAUGGAUGCCAUGGAAGAAGAACUACAACAGAUUGAGAAGAACAAGACUUGGGAAUUAGUCCCUAGAUUGGAAGACAAGAGCAUCAUUGGCACCAAAUAGGUCUACCAGAAUAAGAUGAAUGAAGAAGGUAAAAUUGUUAGGCAUAAAGCUAGACCUGUGUGCAAAGGUUAUUCUAAGUAGAGGGCAUUGAUUUUGAAGAAACAUUUGCACUAAUAGCUAGAUUAGAAGCAAUUAGAAUGUUUCUAGCCUUUUCCGCCUACAAGGUUUAUAAAGUAUAUCAAAUGGAUGUAAAUCUGCCUUCCUAAAUGGGAAUUUAGAAGAAGUGUACAUAGAACAACUAGGAGGGUUUCUGCUACAUGAUGAUGAAACCUUUGUGUGUUAGUUGAAGAAACCCCUGUAUGAUUUAAAGCAAUUUCCUAGAGCAUGGUGAUCAAGGCUAGAUCAUUACCUGAAGGAGAAAUGAUUCAAAAAGGGGAGUGCUGACAACAAUUUAUACAUAAAGAAAGAUGGAAACUACAUGAUCAUUGUGGUUUUGUACUUAGAUGACAUUAUUUUUGGAGGCAAUAAGGACACCCUUUACAAAUAAUUUGCUGAUCUGAUGCAGUUAGAAUUUGAGAUGUCAAUGCUUGGAGAAUUGACAUACUUCCUUGGUUUGCAGAUAUCACAGCAAGACAAGGGAAUCUUUAUCUCACUGAACCAAGUAUGCAAAGGAUAUGUUGAAGAAAUUUAAAAUGGAGGACUGCAAACUGGUAAGUACCCCCAUGGUGACCAGAAGAAAAUUAAGCAAAAAUGAUGAAUCACCGGUGGUAGCAAACAUUGUACAUGAUAGGUAGCCUAUUGUAUCUUACUGCUUCUAGACUAGAUAUAGUGCAUGCAGUGUGCAUGGUGGCCAAAUUUCAAGUUGCACCUAAGUAAUCACAUAUGAAUGUUGUAACCAGAAUUUUUAGGUACCUACAAGGAACAUUCAGUUAUGGAUUGUGGUACCCUAAACAAGAGGAAUUCCUCUUGGAAGCAUAUAUUGAUGCUAAUUGGGUAGGUUUCAUUGAUGACCAAAAGAGAACAAGUGGUGGUGCAUUCUUCCUAGGUGACCGGUUGGUCUCAUGGCAUAGUAAGAAGCAGGAUUCAAUCUCUCUAUCAACUGCUGAAGCAUAAUAUAUUCCUGCUGCUACAUGUUGCUCUCAAGUACUUUGGAUGAAGCAAACCCUCAAGGACAUACAGGUGGACAUCACUAAUCUUAUUCUCAUUCGGUAUGAUAAUUCAAGUGCCAUGAACAUAUCAAAGAAUGCGGUGAUGCAUUCCAGGACAAAUCAUAUAGCCAUCAAGUAUCAUUUCCCCAAAGAGAAGGUUGAAGGAUAGGAAGUAAAGAUGGACUAUGUCCCUAUAGGAGAACAAGUGGCAGAUAUUUUCACCAAACCAUUGUCGAUAAACACUUUUGAGUACUUAAGACACAAGUUGGGAGUUGUGUCACCUGCCUUAUGCACUUAAGUUAGUAAGGAAUUAUAUGGUCCAGGGGGAGUUCAUAGUAGCAUCUAUAACUCUUGAACCACAUGUUGAUCAUAAGGAAAGUUCGAGGCUGUAUGUCGCAGUACCAGUUCUAAUCACUAGUAUCAGUCUAAGGGGGAAAUAGGUAUGAAUCAAAGGGGAAGUAUACAUUACCCUUUGUCAUUGUGUCAAAGGGGGAUAAAUCUACCAAUAUGAAGUAUUGCAGUAAGUUGACAUGAAUGACAAAGGGGGAGAUUGUUGGUAUUAUUAGCAUUAAGUUGUCAUUGAUGUCAACUAGUUUGGCAUAGUCAGUGGUGUGUAGGAAGUGGUGACUAGUAUAAGAAAUCUAAGUCAUAUGAUGUCAAUCCAUGUGUGAGUAAGAACACAAAAGGAAGGUUACUAAUACAUAUGAAUUAUGUCAUCUGUUGGUAAAGCAGGCUUACCGGUAAGGCAUAAACUGGUAUGAAGGCUAGUUGUUUGUUUGUGAUGAAGAGGCAGAAUUUUAUAUAAAUCACAACAACAUGUGGUGAAAAGAACAAAAAGAAUGGCAUGAAGAUAUAUCGAAAGGCAAGAUGAAUUGUCAGGAGGAUGUGUUGUCGGUAAGAGUGAUUGUUUAGUUUGUUAGUUUUAUCAAUAAGGUGAAUUGAACCGGUAGUCAAUCUUGGUCAAUAAAGAAUGUCAAACCGACAUAGAAAACCAAGUAGAGGUGUAUGUCGACAAAGAUGAAAGCUAGAAGCCAGGUGGCAAUAAAGCACAGGUUGGUGAAGUGUGCAUCGAUGUAACAGUCAACAAGCAAAUCAACUUUUAUGAAGAACCAACAAGUCAUGGAGGAUGCCAGAAGAUUGUGGCUCGCGGAAGACAAGCUGGCAUGUGAUUGAACUCAUCCUGCAUGGAGAUUUGAUCUUUGUGCCCAUUUGCUAAAGGAAACAACUGAGCCAUUAAUGGCAUAUGACAGAGAAAAGCAGAAAAGCAUGGUGCAGACCUCCAAAUUUAGAAAACGCACAUUGGAAUGCAAGGCAUUGGUGGUGCUGAUCGAUGAUAUGAAGAUCAUAUCCCUGGAAAAGAAGAUCAAAUCAAAUCCAAUAUGGAUUGAGUUGGUGAAGGAAAAACCUAACACGACACUGUUUGAAUGUAGAUUUUGGAGGGAACCUUAGAUGAUAAAUAUGUGAGCUCGAGACAGAAAUCAUUGAUGCUUAAUAUGAAGAAUGAGAUAGAAGAGAGAUUGAGCAAGGAGAAAAAUCAUCUUCCUUAGAAUUUAUUCUAAGAAAUUUGUAGAGUAAGUUAGCAGGAGAACCGGUGAGAGGGUUUAACCAAUAGAGAUAGGAUAACCGGUAAACUAUUGCAGGUCUAAUAGUUAAGCUAACCGGUGAGGUGUAAUUGAUCAAGAAGGCAUCCAACUGUGACAUAAUGUGUUGUGAGACUGAGAUAGAAAGAAGAUAGGACAAGAAUUAGAGAGAUUAAUUUGAUAACCAAUAGUGUGAGAUCCAGUGAAGAAGAGAAGGUUGUUAACCGACAGAAAUCUAUUGAUCAAGUGUUGCAUAACUCAUUUGCAACUAGAUGCUAUAACUGUAACAAAAUUGUAUUUCAUUACACAUCACCAAGUUGGAGCUUGGUGCACUAGGGGUUCGUGCUCCUUGGGUUUGUGCCCUAAUUCAUUGUAAUUCAUUGUUUCACUUGUGAGGCCGGAUUGGAGCAGUAGACUCCGACAACAUUUCUCACCAAGAUUUUUUCCAUAUUGGUUUUUCCUCGUACAUCUGGUGUUGUGGGUUGCGCUUGUGUGAUUGUCUCUUUUGAUAUCCACAGUUGUCUUAUCGAUUUGAUUGUUUAGUGUUUAGGGUGAUAACCGGUGGGUUAGUGCAAGAAGAUGAGUCCACUUUUUGGCCAAAAAGUGGAAGUGUUUUCCCUGAUUUUCAAAUUUUGUCUCAUUUGAGCUUAAAUUUUGAAACACUUAGAGAUUGAAUCUUGGAAAAAGUCAAUAAUAUAAAAGAUAGCCCUCUAAGUGUACUUUCCAAAUAUGUAAUUUAUUUUAAUACCCACAUAAUAAAAAAUAACUUUUUGAAUGGAGUUUUGAAAACUAUGUUUUAAAAAUGUCUGUUUCAAGACCAUACCAUGCAUGUGUACGGCCCACACUUUUUGACACAAUUAAAAUUAUUUUCUCAAACCAUUUUGGGAAAUGGUUUGUAACACACUGAAGAUUGAUGAGCAUAUUUUUCUGUAUUUUUUUUCUAAUAUUUUUUUUUAAUUAAUUUUUUAAUGGCCGUAAUUAUCUUUUUAA